rnacentral:rRNA from 1 species
UUUGAACAUAUUUUUGAAAAAAAUAAAGACCUGUUAAGUGAUUGUAAAUCUAGUUUACCGCCCAAACAUGUUUUUUACACAAACAAAAAAAAACCUUUAUUUCUUGUUUCCUUUUGUAUAAUGAAAGCAGGAUAGAGCUUGUAGGAACCCCCACCCAUAGACAUAAUGUUGAAAAGUUAAUCAAAAGAAUCAGUACAAAAAUUGUAUACCGACUACAAAAAACUACCCUGUUCAAACAAUUAAGUAAAACUUAAAAACCAAAAACCGGGUAAAACGAUCCAGACACCAAAUACUUCAACCACCGCACCAGCUUUUAUACUAAGCUAUAAGAUAUUAACCGUAAAGUGUAUUUAUAUAAACAUAAUAGUUUGAAACUUCCAUCUGCUUUGAGCCAAUAAUUUAAAUGCAUAAUAAUAAUACUUCCGAAAGUUUCACAAAAACCUUUCCCUUUAAUGUAUAGGGUACACCCUGCUAAAGAAAAGACGUAGCAUAAUUAAUAGCCGCUUCAUUGGCGGACCGUUUGAAUGGGCACACGCGAAGUUUCUUUAAGUUUCUACAUAAAUUGCCCUCAAAUAUCAAUAAAUAUCGUAUGUGAAAAUACAUAUAAUUUCAAGAAAGGCGAUAAGACCCUAAAAGCUCUAUUUAUAGUAGUUGGGGCAACAAGAAAAUUAACUCUUCAUCUACCUACCACUUAUCACAGUUACUUUAGGGAUAACAGCGUAAUAUCUAAUACCAAGACCAUAUUAAUAUUAGAGAGUACGACCUCGAUGUUGAACUAAAGGGAAGCUAGUGUAUAUUCUAGUCUUUAUCGUCUGUUCGCCGAUACACCUUUACGUGAUUUGAGUUCAAACCGGCGCGAGCCAGGUUGGUUUCAACCUUCUUACUUAUUUGUGACUAUUUAGUACGAAAGGAAAUUUUGUCAGUUACCUACUAAAGUUAAUUUAAUAUUUUCUUGUCGAGAAAAAGAACUUCUAAUUCUGCAAAUAAAGUUUACUAAAUAUUUUUCUUGUAUAAAAAAGUUA